rnacentral:rRNA from 1 species
GUGCCAGCAGCCGCGGUAAUACGUAGGGUGCGAGCGUUGUCCAUGAAUUACUGGGCGUAAAGAGCUCGUAGGUGGUCUGUCGCGUCAUUUGUGAAAGCCCGGUGCUUAACUCCGGGUUGGCAGGCGAUACGGGCAUGACUGGAGUACUGUAGGGGAGACUGGAAUUCCUGGUGUAGCGGUGAAAUGCGCAGAUAUCAGGAGGAACACCGGUGGCGAAGGCGGGUCUCUGGGCAGUAACUGACGCUGAGGAGCGAAAGCAUGGGUAGCGAACAGGAUUAGAUACCCUGGUAGUCC